UCAAGCAGCUCUGUUAAUAAACGAAAGUUUUUAUAUGAGUGAAACACGAUAAUUUUUAUUCGUAAAACAAAAAGUUUAAAAUAAACUGUGUAGAUAUAUUAUUUAGUAUGUACCUGCAUUCUGGUGUUGGAUACCAACUUUUUAGCCAUCAAUGUUUAUUCAUAUGUAUUGGGGAUGGACCAAAGAUUGAGUUUUCUUCAGCCAGGAUAUUUUUAGAGGAUUGGAAAUCGUUCACUGAUAUUAAAGAUAAUAUUAUUUUUCAUAACAUAUGCUUCUUCAUAAUAUCCAACAAGGGUCUAGGACAGGCUCCUGUUCAAGUUAGAGGAUACAAACCCACUGCAUUAUUUAUAUUAAAUGAAAACGAAGAUAUAAAACCAACAGGAAAUAAAUAAAUAAUUUGUUUUCGA